rnacentral:rRNA from 1 species
UACGUAGGUGGCAAGCGUUGUCCGGAAUUAUUGGGCGUAAAGCGCGCGCAGGUGGUUUCUUAAGUCUGAUGUGAAAGCCCACGGCUCAACCGUGGAGGGUCAUUGGAAACUGGGGGACUUGAGUGCAGGAGAGAAGAGUGGAAUUCCACGUGUAGCGGUGAAAUGCGUAGAGAUGUGGAGGAACACCAGUGGCGAAGGCGACUCUUUGGUCUGUAACUGACGCUGAGGCGCGAAAGCAUGGGGAGCGAACGGG